GCAACACUAAUUUGAAAUGAGUUCUUUAUGGAACACAACCACUUUAGAUUUGUGUCCGUUUUUCAAUUUCAGAGUCUCGCAUAUUAGUCAGCCUGGCAGGAGCAGCAGCAGCAGCAACAGCAACAGCAGCAGCAAAAGCAGCAGCAAAAGCAGCAGCAACACCAGACACAGCAGCAACAUAAAGCGCAGCUCCCAUGACUCAUUUCGCCUGAUGCGCGCGACAUUAAGAGACAAGACUGAGGCAUACACAAAAAAAAGUAGACAAAACAACGGCUGCGAACCCAAACACUCACUUGACUUGAAAAUCUGCAGAGGAAUAACUGACAGUGUACACAAGCAGCACUAAUUGCUGUAAAAUUGCAAACGGACUGGGGGAAAAAUCGGCAGACAUAGAACAACAGGAGAACACAAAAAUCACAGCAGCUACAACUGGCCGUGUGUUUUAAAAAAAUCUUAACGGAAUGAAUGCAACAAACGAACGAAUGUGCAACGAAACAAGCAACAGCAGCAGCAGCAGGAGCAACAUGAAGCCGCAACAGCAACACAAGCUGCAAACAACUCAAUUAACACAAACAACCAGGCAGCGAAUCGCGCAAAAGUUGCUGUUGCCGUUGGGUUUUCGCCCAGCCGACCGCGCCCCCCAACUCCAGGGACGCCCUUUUCCCCCCUUCAGCCCCCUUUGAGCCUCAUUUUCUGGACACUUUUCGGACUGUUCCUGUUCCCAGCGGCCCCUCGGCAAUGCAAAUGUAUGCAACUUGGUUUUGUGGCAGGCAACAUAUCUUCUUUCAUUUAAAUUAAAAUGGGUACAAGCAGCAUAAUUAAAUCUGAAAUCAUAUUUAAUUUAGAAUAAUAUCUAAGUUCUUAAUUUCAACUAUAUGAAGAAACUAAACUACCAUUUAUUUUUUCA